GAUGAAUGUUGGCGGUGUGCCUGAGAUAUGCAAGUCGAACGUCUUUUCUGCCGUAAGGUAGAAAGGUAGUGGCGGACGGCUGAGUAACACGUAGGGACUUACCUCUUUUUGAAGGAUAGCCCAUCGAAAGGUGGGAUAAUACUUCAUAGUACAAGUAUCGCAAGAUAUUUGUUAAAAGGAAUAACUUCUUGAAAAGAGAUGGACCUGCGGCUUAUCAGAUAGUUGGUGGGGUAACGGCCUACCAAGUCUACGACGAGUAGCUGGCCUGAGAAGGUGGUCAGCCAGAGGGGGACUGAGACACGGCCCCCACUCCUACGGGAGGCAG
rnacentral:rRNA from 1 species